rnacentral:rRNA from 1 species
CCUACGGGAGGCAGCAGUAAGGAAUAUUGGUCAAUGGACGAAAGUCUGAACCAGCCAUGCCGCGUGAAGGAUUAAGGCCCUCUGGGUUGUAAACUUCUUUUAUCUGGGACGAAAAAAGGGUAUUCUUACUCACUUGACGGUACCAGAGGAAUAAGCACCGGCUAACUCCGUGCCAGCAGCCGCGGUAAUACGGAGGGUGCAAGCGUUAUCCGGAUUUACUGGGUUUAAAGGGUGCGUAGGUGGGCUUGUAAGUCAGUGGUGAAAUCUCCGGGCUUAACCCGGAAACUGCCAUUGAUACUAUAGGUCUUGAAUUAUCUGGAGGUAAGCGGAAUAUGUCAUGUAGCGGUGAAAUGCUUAGAUAUGACAUAGAACACCAAUUGCGAAGGCAGCUUACUACGGAUAUAUUGACACUGAGGCACGAAAGCGUGGGGAUCAAACAGGAUUAGAUACCCUGGUAGUCCACGCCCUAAACGAUGGAUACUCGACAUCAGCGAUACACUGUUGGUGUCUGAGCGAAAGCAUUAAGUAUCCACCUGGGAAGUACGAUCGCAAGAUUGAAACUCAAAUGAAAUUGACGG